CCUUGAUCUCAGAUCAGGCAGGAUGACCCGCUGAACUUAAGCAUAUCAGUAAGCGGAGGAAAAGAAACUAACCAGGAUUCCCUUAGUAACGGCGAGUGAAGCGGGAAUAGCCCAAUUUUAAAAGCUAGUCAACCCUUUGUGUUGGUCUCGCAUUGUAAAUUGAUGGAACGUUACCUAGUGUUAAGCCUUUCGGUCAAAGUCUCUUGGAACAGAGCGUCAAAGAGGGUGAUAACCCCGUGGAUGGCCGAAUGACAUACCAGCUUAAUACGUUGCGGUGCGUUUCCUUAGAGUCGGAAUGUUUGGGAUUGCAUUCCAAAGUGGGUGGUAAACUCCAUCUAAGGCUAAAUACUGGCGAGAGACCGAUAGCGAACAAGUACCGUGAGGGAAAGUUGAAAAGCACUCUGGAGAGAGAGUCAAACAGUACGUGAAAUUGCUAGCAGGGAAACGUUGGGCACCAGUACGCGGCAAUCAACGUCAAUGAUCAGUCGGGCGUAGUUGGAAGCAAGGCGUGUUGUUAACACUUUAAAGACCAUCCCAGGAUGGCUUACAUGUCUUGUGUAUUCAAUUGCACCGGUGCACUCUUUGACGGCCGGGUCAACAUCGGUCAACGACGCUUGACAAGUCUUUAGACAAGGUAGCAUUAGUAGGCCUUGCGGCUUACCUUUGAACUUAUAGGUCUAAUGUACGAGAGCGUUGUUAACCGAGGCGGCAUAGCGACUCGCGCGUUUCGGCGCAGGGCGUACUGGCCAGGUCAAGGUCGUCCGUGGUGUUAAGCAGCAUGCUGAUUGACAUUCAUUUUGUCAAGUUUACUUGACAGUGGUGAUCGCCUGGCUAGUACAAGCCACUAGCGAGUCUAUGACGGUUGACGAAAUGGUAUUCAACGACCCGUCUUGAAACACGGACCAAGGAGUCUAACAUGUCUGCGAGUGUUUGGGUGGUAAACCCGAACGCGGAAUGAAAGUGAAGAGGCAAGUUUCGUACUUGCCCACUGGUAGGAGUCAAAGCGUCUAGGCGCGGCGAUUCACUACCGACCGACCUGAUGCCCUCUGUGGUGGUAGGUUUGAGUUGGAGCAGUCCUGUUAGGACCCGAAAGAUGGUGAACUAUGCCUGAGCAGGAUGAAGUCAGAGGAAACUCUGAUGGAGGUCCGUAGCGGUUCUGACGUGCAAAUCGAUCGUCGGACUUGGGUAUAGG
rnacentral:rRNA from 1 species